GGUUGUAGUAGUAAAGUUAUGAGUAUUCCCGCUUGUCACACGGGUGACCCAGGUUCGAUCCCUGGCAGCGACGC